GACGAACGCUGGCGGCGUGCUUAACACAUGCAAGUCGAACGGAAAGGCCCUGCUUUUGUGGGAUGCUCGAGUGGCGAACGGGUGAGUAACACGUGAGUAACCUGCCCUUGACGUUGGGAUAACUUCAGGAAACUUGGUCUAAUACCGGAUAGGAGCUCCUGCUGCAGGGUGGGGGUUGGAAAGUUUCGGCGGUUGGGGAUGGACUCGCGGCUUAUCAUCUUGUGGGUGGGGUAGUGGCUUACCAAGGCUUUGACGGGUAGCCGGCCUGGGAGGGUGAACGGCGCCAUUGGGCCUGAGGUACGGCCCAGACUCCUACGGGAGGCAGCAGUGGCGAAUAUUACACAAUGGGCGGACGCCUGAUGCAGCAACGCCGCGUGCGGGAUGACGGCCUUCGGGUUGUAAAACGCUUUCGCCUGUGACGCAGCGUGAGUGACGGUAAUGGGUAAAGAAGCACCGGCUAACUACGUG
rnacentral:rRNA from 1 species